CAUUUCUCCUUCUCCUUUUCGAUUAACCCAGCAAGAGUUUGAAAGUAAGGCAACCAAAAACCUUCAAUCAUCUUCGUUCUCAAAUGUUCGAACUCAAGUGAAUCGAUUCUUUCCUCUUCUUUUCGACAUUUUCUCUGGUAUUAGGGCUGAAAUUUCUUAUUUUCUUGCUAAAUACUUCUAUACAUGAACAAAUCCUCUUUCCAUGGUUCCUUUGACUUCGAAUUUCAACGAUAAUCGAAGCCAACCAUUUCGAAGCCAACAAUCAUCUUUGUUCCAUCUGGUUCCUUGAUUUUCGGAAAUAACGAACAAAAUAAUAACAGCUGCACCAUGAAUGUCACCCAACCUUCUUGAGCAUUUUCGAAGAACCGUGCCUUCUUGCUCUCUCUUCUUUCGGCACGUCCUAGUAUACGGCAAGAAGGAGACGUUAUCAUCGAAGAACCCUUCUAGUUGAUAGCUGAGGGCCAGACUCGAGUCCUUAAAGCUACGUUGUCGUUUGAUCACAGAUCGGAAUCGGUCGGGAACGAUGGGUUAGCGGUGUUGAAUAGCGUUUCAAGGAUGUAUAUUGAGCUGAGCACGUAGGAAUUUGUAGAUUUGUAUUAGAAUUUUGGAUAAAUGUAUAUUAGAUUUGAU